GAUGAACGCUGGCGGCGUGCCUAAUACAUGCAAGUCGAGCGAACGGACGAGAAGCUUGCUUCUCUGAUGUUAGCGGCGGACGGGAGAGUAACAUGUGGAUAACUUACCUACAAGACUGGGAUAACUUCGGGAAACCGUUGCUAAUACCGGAUAAUAUCUUGAACCGCAUGGUUCAAAAGUGAAAGACGGUCUUGCUGUCACUUAUAGAUGGAUGCGCGCUGCAUUAGCUAGUUGGUAAGGUAACGGCUUACCAAGGCAACGGUGCAUAGCCGACCUGAGAGGGUGGUCGGCCACACUGGGAGAGAGACACGGUUGAGACUGCUACGCGAGGCAGCCGUAGAGGAUCGGCCGCAGUGGGCGAUAGCGUGACAGAGGCACGCCGCGGGAGUGAUGAAGGUCUGCGGGUCGUGAAGCUCUGUUAGUAGGGAAGAACAUAUGUGUGAGUAGCUGUGCAUAGCGUGGCGAUACCUAAUCAGAGAGCCGCGGCAAUAUGCG
rnacentral:rRNA from 1 species